UGGGGAAUUUUGGACAAUGGGGGCAACCCUGAUCCAGCAAUGCCGCGUGUGUGAAGAAGGCCUUCGGGUUGUAAAGCACUUUUGUCCGGAAAGAAAACUUCCGCCCUAAUACGGUGGGAGGCUGACGGUACCGGAAGAAUAAGCACCGGCUAACUACGUGCCAGCAGCCGCGGUAAUACGUAGGGUGCGAGCGUUAAUCGGAAUUACUGGGCGUAAAGCGUGCGCAGGCGGUUUGUUAAGACAGAUGUGAAAUCCCCGGGCUUAACCUGGGAACUGCAUUUGUGACUGGCAAGCUAGAGUAUGGCAGAGGGGGGUAGAAUUCCACGUGUAGCAGUGAAAUGCGUAGAGAUGUGGAGGAAUACCGAUGGCGAAGGCAGCCCCCUGGGCCAAUACUGACGCUCAUGCACGAAAGCGUGGGGAGCAAACAGGAUUAGAUACCCUGGUAGUCCACGCCCUAAACGAUGUCAACUAGUUGUUGGGGAUUCAUUUCCUUAGUAACGUAGCUAACGCGUGAAGUUGACCGCCUGGGGAGUACGGUCGCAAGAUUA
rnacentral:rRNA from 1 species